CACGUAGGAGCCAAGCGUUAUCCGAAUUCACUGGGCGUAAAGCGCGUGUAGGCGGCUUAUUAAGUUGGAUGUGAAAGCUCCUGGCUCAACUGGGAGAGGACGUUCAAAACUAAUAGGCUAGAGGGCGACAGAGGGAGGUGGAAUUCCCGGUGUAGUGGUGAAAUGCGUAGAUAUCGGGAGGAACACCAGUGGCGAAGGCGGCCUCCUGGGUCGCACCUGACGCUCAGACGCGAAAGCUAGGGGAGCGAACGGG
rnacentral:rRNA from 1 species